UAAAGUGGGGGAUAACGCAUCGAAAGAUGUGCUAAUACCGCAUAAUCUCUGAGGAGAAAAGUAGGGGAUCGAAAGACCUUAUGCUUUUGGAGCGGCUGAUGUCUGAUUAGCUAGUUGGUAAGGUAAUGGCUUACCAAGGCGACGAUCAGUAGUUGGUCUGAGAGGACGACCAGCCACACUGGGACUGAGACACGGCCCAGACUCCUACGGGAGGCAGCAGUGGGGAAUUUUGGACAAUGGGCGCAAGCCUGAUCCAGCAAUGCCGCGUGAGUGAAGAAGGCCUUCGGGUUGUAAAGCUCUUUCAGUUGAAAAGAAAAAGUCGUGACUAAUAAUCAUGNNUCAUGACGGUNNCAACAGAAGAAGCACCGGCUAACUACGUGCCAGCAGCCGCGGUAAUACGUAGGGUGCAAGCGUUAAUCGGAAUUACUGGGCGUAAAGGGUGCGCAGGCGGUUCUGUAAGUCAGAUGUGAAAUCCCCGGGCUUAACCUGGGAACUGCGUUUGAAACUGCAGAGCUAGAGUGCGGCAGAGGGAGGUGGAAUUCCAUGUGUAGCAGUGAAAUGCGUAGAGAUAUGGAAGAACAUCGAUGGCGAAGGCAACCUCCUGGGCUAGCACNNACGCUCAUGCACGAAAGCGUGGGGAGCAAACAGGAUUAGAUACCCUNNNAGUCCACGCCCUANNNUNUGUCAACU
rnacentral:rRNA from 1 species